rnacentral:rRNA from 1 species
AUUGAACGCUGGCGGCAGGCCUAACACAUGCAAGUCGAACGAGUGGCGGACGGGUGAGUAAUGUCUGGGAAACUGCCUGAUGGAGGGGGAUAACUACUGGAAACGGUAGCUAAUACCGCAUACCAUCGGAUGUGCCCAGAUGGGAUUAGCUAGUAGGUGGGGUAAAGGCCCACAUAGGCGACGAUCCCUAGCUGGUCUGAGAGGAUGACAAGCCAACAUGGACUGGAGAAAGGGUCCAGACUCCUAGUGUGGGCAUCAGUGGGGAAUAUUGACCAAGGGGCGUAAGCCGUAGGCAGCCAUGCGGCGUGUAUGAAGAAGGCCUUGGGGUUGUAAAGUCCUUUCAGCGGGGAGGCGUUACCCGCAGAAGAAGCACCGGCUACCUCCGUGCAAGCGCCGCGGUAAUUC